rnacentral:rRNA from 1 species
GACGAACGCUGGCGGCGUGCUUAACACAUGCAAGUCGAACGGAAAGGCCUGCUUUCCCUUGUGGAUUGCGGGUACUCGAGUGGCGAACGGGUGAGUAACACGUGAGUGAUCUGCCCCCAACUUGGGUAUAAGCCUGGGAAACUGGGUCUAAUUCCCGAUAGGACUGCAGGGUGGUGCCUGUGGUGGAAAACGAUUUUCUAGUGGUUGGGGAUGAGCUCGCGGCCUAUCAGCUUGUUGGUUGGGUAAUGGCCUACCAAGGCGGCGACGGGUAGCCGGCCUGAGAGGGUGGGCGGCCACAUUGGAACUGAGAUACGGCCCAGACGCCUACGGGAGGCAGCAGUGGGGAGUAAUGAACAAUGGGCGGAAGCCUGAUGCAGCGACGCCGCGUGGGGGAUGACGGCCUUCGGGUUGUAAACUCCUUUCGACCGCGAGGAAGCCACCUGGUUGGAAGGGUGGUGACGGUAGUGGUAGAAGAAGCACCGGCUAACUACGUG